rnacentral:rRNA from 1 species
GACAGAGGUGCCGAGCGUUAGGCGGAAUCACUGGGCUUAAAGCGUGUGUAGGCGGACGUCUAAGUGCCUUGUGAAAUCCCCCGGCUCAACCGGGGAACCGCUGGGCAUACUGGGCGUCUUGAGUGGUCUAGGGGCAACUGGAACAAACGGUGGAGCGGUGAAAUGCGUAGAUAUCGUUUGGAACGCCAAAGGUGAAAACAGGUUGCUGGGGACCAACUGACGCUGAGACACGAAAGCCAGGGGAGCAAACGGG